GACGAACGCUGGCGGCGUGCUUAACACAUGCAAGUCGAGCGAGUUGAUCCCUUCGGGGUGAAGCUAGCGGCGGACGGGUGAGUAACACGUGGGCAACCUGCCUCAUAGAGGGGAAUAGCCUCCCGAAAGGGAGAUUAAUACCGCAUAAGAUUGUAGUUCCGCAUGGAAUAGCAAUUAAAGGAGCAAUCCGCUAUGAGAUGGGCCCGCGGCGCAUUAGAUAGUUGGUGGGGUAACGGCUCACCAAGUCGACGAUCAGUAGCCGAACUGAGAGGUUGAUCGGCCGCAUUGGGACUGAGACACGGCCCAGACUCCUACGGGAGGCAGCAGUGGGGAAUAUUGCGCAAUGGGGGAAACCCUGACGCAGCAACGCCGCGUGCAGGAAGAAGGUCUUCGGAUUGUAAACUGUUGUCGCAAGGGAAGAAGACAGUGACGGUACCUUGUGAGAAAGUCACGGCUAACUACGUG
rnacentral:rRNA from 1 species